rnacentral:lncRNA from 1 species
UGAAUGUAUAACCCUCCUGCCUCAGCCUCUCAGAGGGCUGAGCUUACACCACACAGUUUCCCCCUCUUACAAGUCACAGUGUAAGUUUCUCUAGUCCACAUGUGGCAUCAGGGACCCUGUGGGUCCUGCUGUGUCUCACAUGUGUAUACUCAUGUGUCACACAUGCACAUGCUACAAAGUUCGUGUGUGACAAUUUUGGCCCAAUUCUAAGUGCUGUACAGUCUUAAAGAAGCUGCAGAAACAUUUUUUUCUUCCUCAUCCUCUGCAAAACAGGCAUCCUGCUGUGGGGUCAUUUGUGCACAAGACAAAGACCAGGAGGAGCCACGUCUCUGUUCUUCCUCACCCACCAUCCUGCUCGGUCUCCUCUCAGUGCCACAGGCUUCCUCUGCUCCACUCAAGAGCUGUCCUUGCAGGUCAACAAUGGUGAAAACCCUACUGAGGCAGAGGAAAAGCAGCUGCCAGCAGCAGGAAGGAAGCUCUUGCUGGGAGGCUGGCUUCCAGCAUCAGAGUUUUAAUCACUACUAA